GUCCAAGUGUCUUUAUAGGGAAGAGCAUCAGAAUUUCCACAGCUUUCUGUCGACUGCAGAAACACACAGAUUGUUGAUAAUGGAUAAAGGACAGCCUCAGCCAACGGUCCAGACCAACAUAACCAACCAGACGCAACAGGUUUCCUAUCAAACCCAACCAGCUCCAACAGCAGUUUACAACCAACAGCCCACCGUCACUCAGCCUGCACCUGCCCAGGUGGUAGUUAUUCAACCACAACUGACUGAAGUUCCUGGGCAGACGAACUGUCCUUACUGCCACCAGCAGAUCAUCACAGAGACAGCAUACAUCAAUGGGAUGAUGGUGUGGUACAUCUGCCUUCUUCUUGGAAUUUUAAUGAUCUGGCCAUGUUGUUUGAUUCCAUUCUUUGUGAAUUCCUGCAAGGAUGUAGAGCAUCGCUGUUCAAAGUGCCAUAACCUCGUCCAUGUGCACAGACGCUUCCAAAGAUAGCUUAUUCUGAAGCAACGAAAAUCAGAACGACCAAAAAGUGGCAGCAUCUUUUCUAAUUCAAAGAAAAAUAACACCAUGACGUGGGUUUCUCUUUCCUUCUUUAUGAAAAUAUAUAUAUUAAUACUGAAUAUCACUUAUCUCUUUUCUUGUAAAAUUUAUAAUAAACACUGCAGGAUCGUGUAAUGUAAUCAAGAAAAAUUGUACUACUUGUUGCCAUUUUUGCAUCUGUUUAUUUCUGUGUUUUGUUUAUUUGAUUAAAAUGAUCUUAAUCUAAAGGUCUGCAAUACCUUGUUUUCCCCAACACUCCCCCUUAACCUCUUAACUGUCACGAUCCCGCUGGCGGGACACCUCCCAGCCAGCACACCCAUGUAGGCUCUACAUGGUUUAGCCCAGAUGAAAUGAGCAUUGUUCAGAGUGCACACUACAGGCUGUUAAAUGUAACACUGAAUCAGUGUUGGAGUUAAUGAGAUAAUUAAGUAAUUAAUUAAGUGAUGAUUGAGCAUUAUCGAAGAUAGCUGCUGUUAACAAGCAGAAUGAACGAAGGAAAGAGAAACAACAAGAACAGAAAAAAUUGAAACACUAGAACUACAACUGACUUCAGUCACAGCCUUAGAUGAAAUCAACUGAAGAUAAAAGAAGACAUAAAAUCUCUCAAGAUCUCAGCAGAGGAGGAUUAACCAACUCUAUAUACAGAAGCUUUUAUUGAGAAUUAAGAGAGAGAGUUUUUUUGUUGUUGAUUUUUUAUUGAAAUUUGUUUGGGUUUUUAUGUCACCAUCAUGGUGAUCAGUGUUUACUUUAGUUGGGUAGUUUGACUUGUCUUUGUAAUGUUAAUGUCUCUGCUUGCUGUAAUUGAGUUUGUUAUAACAAGAGAAAACACAAUCUGAUGCUGUGACUGCUUCAUGACAAAAAUAUCAUCAUUGUGUAGUGGCUUAAUUCACUGAUCUUACGACUGAGUUAAAUAUCUCACUAACUUUGUUUUAUUGUGAUUCCCAACAGUGGUGACAAUAAAAAAAAAAAUAAAAUAAAAAAAAUCAGAUCAACUCUGUACAUCACAAAAAAAAAAAAAAAAUCUUUGUUGCUUGUCACCAUGUGUUGAUUCUUGAUGUCUUGGUGCACUUAAAAUACAAAACAUUUUCUGUGUAUUAACUUAAAAAUCAGAAUUCCAGGUUAUCAUAGUACGAUGUCACGCUAUUGCAAGGCUACAGUAAAUCAUGUGAAACUAACAGCUAAUAUUCUUAGAGAUUUGACAUCAAGCAUUAUCAGUGAAUCAGGCUACUUCAUGAUGACUAUAUCAUCGCCAAUAAGCAGCCAAAAUCAUCUGAUCAGAGUUUCUCCUGCAUUUUUUGCUACAACAAAUGUCUAUAUUUUUUUAAAGUGAAGGUAUUUGAUCAUAAUAAUUCAGAAAAUACCUAUAAAAUCACAGUGUUUUUCGGUUGAUUUAAAUUAGGAUAUUUUACUUUAAUUUUAUGGUCUUUGUUUGGCAGCCUCUGCUGCUAGUCAUUGACCAUUUUCAAUACGAUUUCUUUAAAGUGAAGGUACAGCUGUCGAAAUCCACCCCCCCAUAUGAUGAGAGAUGUUAAUGCAGUGACUUAAAAGAUGCUGAUUCUAUACUGUGUGGAUAGAGUUUAACCAGCAUCAGUUUAAAUUUUCAUUUUUUGCCUUUGCCAUUUUUUAUGAUAUGAAAUAAGUAAAGACAGUAAUUUAGCAGUAAUAGUAUAAACCACUGUCCAGAAUAUGUUCAACAUGUGUAACACUUCAUUGAGGCAUGAAUGCAGCAGUAAAGGUUUGUUGGAAAUCUCAGAAGCGAAGACCAGGAGACUUGGAUGUAUCUUCAGCAGAUUCUUUAUUGAGAACACAUGCUGUUGGUACCUGCUGUCAUCAAGUCUAACUAAAGCAGUGCACAUUGUAGUUUAUAUACAUUUUAGGGGGCAGUGCUUAGGGAUAGAGACAAAGCACCUGGGAGAUGACAUUAAACAAAGCAUGCAAAUGAAGUAUUCAGGUAUAGGAACCCGCCCCAGACUCUAGAUUCUUGAGUGUCGCAAGUCCUAAUCCAAUCAGCAUAACUAUUCAAAGAAUGGGACAAGGGCUCCAAGAGCCAUUAACGACAAAAGGUGAGAAUCUCAGUAAUCAUUAGACAUACAAUAAAGAGAACAGGAACUGGUAGAAAACUCUUGCUGGAAACUUUAAACAGAAUAAUUCAUCUACCUUAAAAUGCUAAAUACAAUGUACUUCACCUUAGUAUUUCAUGUGAUGUUAUGUCAGGACGUAGGAUCUGCAGAUCUUAAACAGAUUCUUAAAUUUGUAAUCCCACAGGUUCAAGGUUCAAUGUUAGGCCGCAAUAUUGGAAAUCUUUCCAUUUUAAACCAAAAAAGUGAGCCAACUGAUAUCAUAGUGGUGAGAAUAAUAAAGCAUGUUGCAGUGCAUUCUGGGAGCCACCAAUCAAAAUUCAUCCAUGGCUCCCAUCAUGCAUUGCUGCAUGAAUAAAUUAUGAGCUUAAUUGUCUUAGUAAUUUCCUUUAUUGUCACUAUUUUUAUUUAUUUAUUUUUUCUGUUUUUAUGUGACUUUUUAGUAGCUUGUUUUCUAAUGUUCAGAGUUGAUCUGUUUAUCAGAAUAUGUCACUUGUUGCCGUUGUUGAGAUUCACAGGCUGAUUCUUGAUGUGUGUGUGUCUAAAAGAAAGUUUUUUUUUAUUCAGAAUAACCUUUGUGAAAUCCUUUGGAUUAUAUUGAAAAAGCUGAUCUUCUGCUGUAGAAUCACAGUGCUGCUGUAAUCAAUAAUGUAAAUCUAACUCAGAUUGGGCUCUAAAUGAGUUCAGUGAUUCAGGUCAAAUAAUGAUUAUGUAAAAACGUAUAUUUUUUUCUUUGCUUGUCUGAUAUUAAUACUAAUAUUAAAAAGUCAAGGGUCAAGAGCUCAACUAAAGCAAACACUCAUCUCUACGAUGGUGGCUUAAAAAUUGUGAUUUUCUCCUUUGGUGAUUCUGCUUGUUAACAUCAGGUGUCUUCAAUAAUGGUCAAUCAUCACUCAAUUAUCUCAUUAACUUUAACACUGCUUCAGUGGGUGGAAUAAAAAAUAUGGCAGGACUUCUGACCCCUGGACUUUACACCUCUGCAUAAAACAUUAACAUCUAAACCUCUGUUAAUUCUCAGUAAGAACUUUUGUUGAUGUAUGACAGAAAUAAAGUCAAACUGGUUAGUAAUAAGUGUAAUAAUGUUUAAUGGCUGGACUUCAGUUGUACUUGUGUCUCUCUUUGUUCUGUUCUUCUUUUUUCUCUUUCCUUCAAUGAUUCUACUUAUUAACAUCAGGAAUCUUCAAUAAUGGUAAACCAUUGCUUAAUAAAUCACUUAAUUAUCUCAUUAACUUCAACUGCUUCUUGGGCUGUUGACCUUCAUGUUCUCUUAAAUGCUUGACAUACACACAUUAACAAGAUAAGUGUGGGCAUCCAUAAUACAGAUUAACCCCAUGUUUGUGUUAAAUUCAGAAAUAAAAGAGGUUCAGUUUCAGCCCUAUAAUGAGCAUAAUGUUUGUUUAGAGGUUUGUGUGUGUUCUUAUAGUAACAAAUAAACACUCUUGUAAUUGGACAGGAAGGCUUGAGAA